rnacentral:rRNA from 1 species
GACGUAGGGGGCCAGCGUUGUUCGGAAUUACUGGGUGUAAAGGGUUCGUAGGCGGUGUGGCAAGUCGGGAGUGAAAUCUCUGGGCUCAACCCAGAGACUGCUUCCGAAACUGCUGUGCUUGAGUGUGAGAGAGGCUCGUGGAAUUGCAGGUGUAGCGGUGAAAUGCGUAGAUAUCUGCAGGAACACCCGUGGCGAAAGCGGCGAGCUGGAUCACUACUGACGCUGAGGCACGAAGGCCAGGGGAGCAAACGGG